rnacentral:misc_RNA from 1 species
GAUGAAGAACGUAGCGAAAUGCGAUAAGUAAUGUGAAUUGCAGAAUUCAGUGAAUCAUCGAAUCUUUGAACGCACCUUGCGCUCCUUGGUACUCCGAGGAGCAUGCCUGUUUGAGUGUCAUUAAAUUCUCAACCUUUCCAGCUUUUGCGAGUUUGGAUUGGCUUGGAUGUGGAGGUUUGCAGGCUUCUCAGAAGUCAGCUCCUCUUAAAUGCAUUAGCGGAACCUUUGUGGACCAGCUUUGGUGUGAUAAUUAUCUAUGCCAUGGUUGUGAAGCAGUUUUUAUAUGGGGUUCAGCUUCUAACAGUCCAUUGACUUGGACAAUUUCUGACAUUUUGACCUCAAAUCAGGUAGGACUACCCGCUGAACUUAAGCAUAUCAAUAAGCGGAGGA